rnacentral:pre_miRNA from 1 species
AUAGUACUCCCUCCGUCCGAAAAUACUUGUCGUAGAAAUGCAUAAAAAUGGAUGUAUCUAGAACUAAAAUACAUCUAGAUACAUCCAUUCCUCUGACAAGUAUUUCCAGACGGAGGGAGUAUCUA